GAUGAACGCUGGCGGCGUGCCUAAUACAUGCAAGUCGAGCGAACAGACGAGGAGCUUGCUCCUUCGACGUUAGCGGCGGACGGGUGAGUAACACGUAGGUAACCUACCUAUAAGACUGGGAUAACUUCGGGAAACCGGAGCUAAUACCGGAUAAUAUUUCGAACCGCAUGGUUCGAUAGUGAAAGAUGGCUUUGCUAUCACUUAUAGAUGGACCUGCGCCGUAUUAGCUAGUUGGUAAGGUAACGGCUUACCAAGGCAACGAUACGUAGCCGACCUGAGAGGGUGAUCGGCCACACUGGAACUGAGCCACGGUCCAGACUCCUACGGGAGGCAGCAGUAGGGAAUCUUCCGCAAUGGGCGAAAGCCUGACGGAACAACGCCGCGUGAGUGAUGAAGGUCUUCGGAUCGUAAAACUCUGUUAUUAGGGAAGAACAAACGUGUAAGUAACUGUGCACGUAUUGACGGUACCUAAUCAGAAAGCCACGGCUAACUACGUG
rnacentral:rRNA from 1 species